rnacentral:rRNA from 1 species
AUGGGUGCCCUCUCGUGGGCGGCUGACGCGGUGGUGGUGAUCUACUCUCUCACCGUGGCCAUCACUGCACCGCUAGUCGUCGCACAGGGCAUCCUCCCGCGCCGCCUCUUCCCGGCGCCGCUUGUGGCCUUCAAGCUGUGGUACGCGGUGAAGUUCGACGACUACCUCACCGCCGAGCCACCGGCUUUCUUCCGCGGGCUUAACUGGCUGGAGCUCGUCUUCCAAUGGCCGCUCAACGUUGCCAACGUCUACGGCAUCCUUGCCGGCCGCCCAUGGGCCGCCACCACAUCCCUGAUGGCCGGCGUCUCUACCCUCACCUCCAUGGCUGCGAUACUUGGAGACAUUCUGGGAUCAGGGAGAGCGACCAAGAAAUUGCUUCUGGUCUAUGUCCCUUACGUUGCUUUCGCCGUCAUCGCGAUUCUUCGUGGGCUCGCCUCAGGCUCAAGAUCUCCAGCGGGUUCUCUUGCAUCUUAUGCUUGGAAGAAAAUCAUCUAG